UACGUAGGGGUCGAGCGUUGUCCGGAGUUACUGGGCGUAAAGCGUGUGCAGGCGGCUCAUUGCGCCCGGCGUGAAAGCCCCCGGCUCAACCGGGGAGAGUCGUCGGGGACGGGUGAGCUUGAGGGUAUCAGGGGCUGGUGGAAUUCCCGGUGUAGUGGUGAAAUGCGUAGAUAUCAGGAGGAACACCGGUGGUGUAGACGGCUCACUGGACCAUAACUGACGCUGAGACACGAAAGCGUGGGUAGCAAACAGG
rnacentral:rRNA from 1 species